UAAGCUACAGAGGUAUAUGCUAGUUUCGCAUAGAUGCCGUCUGCUAUGUAAGCUAUUGACAAUACAGGGUAGCGCAAUAUUGGAGGAACUAUCAAAUUAUCUGUGUACAUACUCAUUUCUUGUGCUUAGCUUCUGUGUGCGAUCAUUUGUGAUAUGUACUUUCGCACGUGAUACCUGACACAUAUCUUGGAAUCAUGAGAUCUUACAUUUCAAAAUGUUUAGCAGAUUUGCUAAUUAUUACAAGAAACAAAGGCCGCGUUCCGCGAAGAAAGUUGCUCAGUGGACGCAUCGCGUUGAUUGGGUUAUACUUUUAGAUCUGUGCUGUGAUAGAACUAUUCUUCUAGAUUAUUAAGGAAUAAUCUAAUCGGCGCAACCGCUCACUGAGCAAUUUUCACCGCUGAAUGCGGUCUAUGUCAGUACGGAACAUACUUCAAUACAUAUGCUAUCUAGAGUCGGGAAAAACUGAGACAUAUUUCUUGAGAACAACAUCAUAUCAGUGUAUUAAGAUACUCUGUCAUAGACGAGUGUGCGUACUGACAUGGUGUCUUGCAAUAAUUAGCAACUCUAUUGUAUGCUUUUCGUAUGUAAGAUCUUAUGCUGCCUACAUAUGUGACAAGGAUUACGAGCGAAAGUACACGUUACGUAUAAUUACUCACAGAGAGUCUAGCACGUGAGAAGAGAAUAUGAAUCGUAUCCGUACUGACACGAUGUCUUGCAAUUAUUA